CUGUUAUAUGCUGAACAAAAGCUCAGCAUAUAAAGAACUACUCUCCCGAAUGUGCUCAUAUUUCUGAUGGUGACCUGCUACGUUAGACUCACUCACGUGUGCACACACACACACAGAAAGGAGACUGUCAUCUAAAAUAAAUAAUUUAAACCAAGAAACACUCUGACCUUACUUAUCUGCAUAGUAACUGUUCUGAACUCAGCCUCAAUGACAAUCCCACUUUUACAAAAUGGAAGAUGAAGAUAAUGUUUAUAAACUGCUUACGUUGUUUUUAAUCUACUUCUUAAAAUAGACAUUUUCCCUUAAUACAAUGACUAGGAGCAGUUGCCAACUUUGGCUUUUUUUCUGUUCUGGUUUUUCCAGAAAGAUGUUUUUUUACAUUGACUUUUGCCCAGCUUGAG
rnacentral:lncRNA from 1 species